GACGAACGCUGGCGGCGUGCUUAACACAUGCAAGUCGAACGGAAAGGCCCUGCUUUUGUGGGGUGCUCGAGUGGCGAACGGGUGAGUAACACGUGAGUAACCUGCCCUUGACUUUGGGAUAACUUCAGGAAACUGGGGCUAAUACCGGAUAGGAGCUCCUGCUGCAUGGUGGGGGUUGGAAAGUUUCGGCGGUUGGGGAUGGACUCGCGGCUUAUCAGCUUGUUGGUGGGGUAGUGGCUUACCAAGGCUUUGACGGGUAGCCGGCCUGAGAGGGUGACCGGCAAAAUUGGAACGGGGAAACGGCCCGGAUUCCUAGGGGAGGAAGCGGUGGGGAAAAUGGCACAAUGGGCGAAAGCCUGAUGAAGAAACGCGGCGUGGGGGAUAACGGCCUUCGGGUUGUAAACCGCUUUGGCUGGGAACGAGGCGGAGGGGACGGUAAUGGGUAAAGAAGCACCGGCUACUACGUG
rnacentral:rRNA from 1 species